UUUGAUUGAAAAAUCCAUUCACCACACUUGAAGAAGCAGACUUGAAGAAGCAUGUGCAGUAUUGGGUGAUGUGGAAGAGAGUAAUUGUCCACCAUUUUGGUAGUACAAUCUGUGUUUGAAUCCAUCACAUGUCAAUGUUUUGCAAUUUAGGGCUGAGGAGUUUGCAUCCUGUGGGAUACUGGUGAAGACAGCGUUGAAAACCUCCAUACUAAGUUUUCAUCUGGAGUAGGAAAUGAAGAGUUAACUAGCAAAGAAGAGAAUCGAGAUUGUGUGAAGGAAAAUACUACUGUCAUGUGAUUUUUGUAACCCAUGUUGCAAAAACGGCCGAAAACUAAGGCACAAGCGCAAGGGUGCUAGCUGUGAGCUAUGGCGAUCGGACGUAUAACCCUCCAGGUCAGGCCCCAGUGGCCCACGCGAACGCCGAAUGAGCACGCUGAAAUGGGGACAAUCGCGGGCCCAUCAAUCUCAGCAUCUCCUCUAAGCCCCAGUUGCACUCGAUCAGAGAGAUUUCCAUCCAGUUUUGUUUGUUGAUGUAGCGGCGAUGAAGUCCUCUGUUUGCUGCCGAUCGUGCUGGCCUGUGCGUAUGAAGAAGCCUCAGGCGGUUCGAUUGUUUGUUCGAUUUGUUUUAUUUUAUUUUGAUCUGAUGGAUUCUUUAAUACGUCCGUGAGCGAGAUAACUUUUGAUUGAUCAUGUGUAUAGAGCACAAAGCUUGUUGUGGCUGGUAGUGCUGACUUCGGGUAGUCCGUUCGUUUGAGUUCCGAGUCGGUUAGCCUGCUGAGAUUAAUUCAGAAGGAGAAUACUAACUGAGUGAGAAGAAUUCGUGACGAAUUCAUGACAUGAUUGGCGCCGCGCAUGAGCUUUCUGAUCGCCGCAGGAUGGUGAUGUUGGCGAGUCGAGAUUUCCAUGGAACCCCUAUGGCUACAGCUAUGACGGUCUCCCUCUGUUCCAUGGAGUUUCUGGCGCCUUCAAAGUUGAGGAAGGAUAGAAGUCCGGCACCUUCGCGAAAGGUGAAAUAAAUUGGUGCAAGUGCAAAGCUAAUUGGUGGCUAUCUGGACCCGACUGUGGCGGACAGGGAGAAGGAGGAGGCCAUGGAAUAGGGGAGGAUGGUAUUGGACCAUGACGAUUGGCUUCGACAUCGGAGUAGUACCAGACACGGGCGGCAUCUGGCAUCAAUUGUGUCCUCAAGGGUUAUCUUAGCCCUUGGGGUUCCAGUCUUCUCUCUCACAGGCGUGGCAGCUUUUGUCACCUUCUACAAUGAAGCUAUCUCAGCGCAGACCUUUCUCCCUCACAGCCCCCGCACUUGCACUUCUGCUCGUUUUCAGGAAAAAUGCCUCCUACGCGAGCUUCGAUGAAGCCCGGAAGGUGUGGGGCAUGAACGUAAACAGAUCUCAAGACGUGUGCAGGAAAGCCCUAACUUUCAUGGGCUCUUCUGCCGAUGGAUCCAAAUUGCAGAGCUGCUUGCAUUAGGCAGCGACAUCCCCAUACAUGUUGAAGAGCCAUGUGAGUGAGGGUGCAAAUCUGGAGAAAGAAUUGGUAGGUUUACUGGAAGAGCUAGAGCUUGCAUCUCUUUUGGCGGCAUCUCAUCGACCGAAUGACGUGUUGUAAAUCAUGUCGGAGUUUGUAUCUAGCAGCACUAUGACUGAUAUGCAAAGAUCGAGCAUAGACAAAAACUUGACUGAAUUCCAUGACAAUGUUGGUGCAUGUGAGAGGCUUUUUAAAACGCCGAUACCACUGUCGUACACGAGGCUCACUUCAAGAUUCCUGGUCAUAUGGCAUAUAGCGCUGCCAUCAGGGCUGUGGGAUCAGUGCAGAUGGCUCACAAUCCCUGCCGUCUUCUUCAACGCCGCAGCCUUGUUGUGCAUCGAGGAGGUUGGAGUGCUGGUUGAGGAGCCGUUUGCGACGCUUGCUCUUGGGGCAUCUGCGGUACUAUGAAGAACAAUGUAGCAGGUUUGUUGGAGCUCACACGCAGAACGCUAAGAGAAAAAGUUCGGAGAAAAUUGAGUAGCUCUGAGACGAAAUAACUUCAUCUUUUGUUUAUAUUCUAUGGACUUGUCUAGGUCUUUACUGAAGCAUCACUGAAACUGGGUGCCAUUGCUGAUAUGGUUCUGGAGGUGGACAUAGCUAUUGCAAUGCCUAGAACCGGGAUCUAUAUGAAGUUCGAGCAUAAACGAAGGACGCAUCAGCAUCGAUUCGGUAAGCUUGACAGGCAUUCCAUAUCUUGUGAAGAGAUUGAGCUCGCAGCAUUGACACUAUUUCUCGGUACAGGAGAAUUACAGGUCUCUCGAAGGGCAGGAAAACAAAACUCUGGAGUCAAUCGUAGACAGCUUUUCAAGGUUUUGUAUCACAUCCUUCAAUAACCAGCCCAUCUAGGACAAGAUGUAAAUGCAGAUCGAUUGUACAACAUUCCAGCAUGUUCACUGGGGUAGAGCUCGGUGCUGCAAACACGGCACUUGCAGCACCUCUUCAUUGCCUUGUAAAUUAUCCCCGUGGUGGAAAAGAUAAUAAACAGUUCAAUGUCAUAACGUGCAUUGAUUCAUUGUUUUCCAAA